rnacentral:misc_RNA from 1 species
AACUUUUAGCAAUGGAUCACUUGGUUCUGGCAUCGAUGACGAACGCAGCGAAAUGCGAUAAGUAAUGUGAAUUGCAGAAUUCAGUGAAUCAUCGAAUCUUUGAACGCACAUUGCACCCUCUGGUAUUCCGGGGAGUAUGCCUGUUCGAGCGUCAUUACAACCCUCAAGCUCUGCUUGGAAUUGGAUGUCACCCACUGUGGUGUGUCCUAAAACCAUUGGCGGUAGCAUUUAGCUUCUAGUGUAGUAGAUUUCUCACUUUGGAGUCUAGGUGUCCUACUCGCCAGAACCCUUAAAUUUUAUCAAAGGUUGACCUCGGAUCAGGUAGGGAUACCCGCUGAACUUAAGCAUAUCAAUAAGCGGAGGCU